AACAAAUCCUCUUCCUUGACUGGAUCAAAAAAGUUGGGACAUGGCUGUUCACUCACAGUGAGAAAGAACAUCAAAGAACAGAAUUAAGACUUGGCAAGAAACCUGUCCACGACAAAAGGCAGACAAUGUAAGUCAAGCUCAGCUGAGAACAAAGGACUGGUGAUGCAGGUGAGGUUUGGCAUCUGUACUAAUUAGGAUGGGCUAAAUUACAGUAACAUUCACCAAAUCUCAGCAUCUUAUUGCAAUAAAGGUUUAUUUCUCACACAUGUUACAUGUUUGAUAUAAGUCAUCAGGGGACCCAUCGCAACUUGAGUUCACAGGAAAUAGACACUGAAACUCUGAAAUUUGUAUGCAGGAGGUUAUUACCUAAUGAUGGCAAGAGCAACCUCUGUGGGGAUUGAGGGAUGCAAGACUGGGCAGAGGGAGAAGUUGAAUUGCAACACAUUUGCAACUGAGGCAUCAAUCAAUCCUGCAGGAAUUCUGGAGCUGGGCUGGCCUUUCAGCAUUGUCCUAAUCUGUGUCUGCUAACACUUUAAGGUACACCUAAAAGACCCCCCAAACCCAGCAAGCUUUUCAUUCAAGAUUCCUUCAGUGGAGUACAUCUAGGGAAAAAGUCCCUCAAGUAUACUGAUAAUUUAGGCUCCUUGAAUGCUGCCUUGGAGUAGGAAAUCCAGCAUUAGACAGACUGCCUAGCCAAGUUGGGUAAAACCAGUAAAUUUUUUUUUUUUUUUAAAGACGGAGUUUCGCUCUUGUAGCCCAGGCUGGAGUGCAUUGGCACGAUCUUGGCUCACUGCAACCUCCGCCUCCCGCG
rnacentral:lncRNA from 1 species